rnacentral:tRNA from 1 species
GCCGGGGUGGUGGAAUUGGUAGACACCUGAGACUUAAAAUCUCAUGGAAGAAAUUCCGUGCCGGUUCGAGUCCGGUCCCCGGCACCA